rnacentral:rRNA from 1 species
GAUGAACGCUGGCGGCGUGCCUAAUACAUGCAAGUCGAGCGAACAGAUAAGGAGCUUGCUCCUUUGACGUUAGCGGCGGACGGGUGAGUAACACGUGGGUAACCUACCUAUAUGACUGGGAUAACUUCGGGAAACCGGAGCUAAUACCGGAUAAUAUUUCGCACCGCAUGGUUCGAUAGUGAAAGAUGGUUUUGCUAUCACUUAUAGAUGGACCCGGGCCGUAUUAGCUAGUUGGUACGGUACCGGCUUACCAAGGCGACGAUACGUAGCCGAGCUGAGAGGGUGAUCGGCCACACAGGAAGUGAGAGGCGAUCCAGACACCUACGGGAGGCAGCAGUAGGUAAGCUUCGGCAAAGGGCGAAAGCCUGACGGAGCAACGCAGCGUGAGUGAAGAAGGUCUGCGGAUCGUAAAACGCUGUUAUUAGGGAAGAACAUACGUGUAAGUAACGGUGCGCGUCUGAACGGUACCUAAACAGAAAACCACGGCUAACUACGG